rnacentral:tRNA from 1 species
GGAAGGGUGGCCGAGUGGUUUAAGGCGUAGCAUCGGAAAUGCUACGUAGAUUUCUCUCUACCGAGGGUUCGAAUCCCUCCCUUUCCU